AAAAAAAAAAAAGGACUGCAGCUCCAAUCUUGGCAGUACUCUGCAGAGCUCUCUAGUGUUUAUACUCUCUAGUCUAAAGCCGUGGUUCUUAAUGGAGGUUGACUUCGCAAGGAACAAUGGGCAAAACUUGGAAAUAUUUGGGGAGAGGGCAGUAUUACCAGUGUCUCAUGUACAGGCCAGAAAUGCAACUAAACAUCCUAGAAAGCAUCAGAGAACCUCCGCAACAAAGAAUCAUCCAGACCAAUAUGGCCAUUGCAACAAGGUUCAGAAACCCUGGUUUAACCCACAAUAGAUAACAGACUCAGAAAAUGAUUAACUUUCAUGAUACCCAGAAACUGAGAAAAAGAAGCCACCAAAAGGUAUCGAAAUGGAAACUAGAGCUAAACUGAGGGGAAAAAAAUUACCCUCGUGUCAUUCUAUGAAAUAAAGACUCCCAUGGUGGGGGUGGGGGGUUGUGUUGAUACAGUCAGGAAUGGGGAAGGCAUUAUAUUUUUCUCACCACCUGUGUGCUGUCUCAGAGUACCACUGUUUGGUCAACGAAAGACUGAAUUUCCAUCCAUGUCUAUCUACUGAGACCUGUGCUAAUGGGCACCCAUCCUUCAGUGCAACCAUCUUUGCACGUUGAAGCAGGUGCUGUAAGAAGAUAGGACACAUGUGUGUUUGGGGAAACAUGGAGGGGGGACCAAAAAAGAGAGCAGAGUUAUACUGGCAAAGAUCCUUCUGUGACAUCAGGCAUUAAGUCAAGUAAAUGGAAGUAGAGCAGGAAUUUUUUUCAGAUUCCAUGUGUCCUGGGAAUAGUGUCUUGUUUUAAAAAUUUGUAACAGUGUUAGCUAAUCAUAGGACAGGCAGUAAUGACUGGAGGAAGAUGCCCCCUUGUGACUGUAUUCUAGAAGAGUAUCUUUUUAUUGGGUGUUUAACAAAGAUAGUCUCCCACAUACAGAGGCUGGAAAAAUAAACUACCUUGUACGUUUGUUUGAGUAGAAUUACCUGAAGAUGGAGUUUAGGAUAGAAAAGUCCUAGCAGUAGACAUUGCAAACAAUUGAAACACCAUAUCUGUAAAUAAAUGUUGCAAAUCUGGUUACAACACGAGAUACAGAUUGGAAAAAAAAAAAAAAUGUAAGCACACGUUAUUUUAUGUGUUUCAUCUCAUUUGAGCCUGCCAUAAAUUCUGAAAUAAAUAUCACAGUCACACCAUUUUUAUAGGUAAAGUAAUAGGACUUAUAAAGGUAUCCACAGAAUCAAAAAAUAUAAAUGGUUUACUGCUAUUACCUUUUGAUGCAUAGCAGGUUCAGUGUGCUGUGCUUUGAUAGCAAUGCAGUCUUGCAGUGAGGCGGCCCAUGAAGUUAUCAUUUGUGUCAAUCUCUCAUUUGUUUGCCCUCAGAUAAUUUAGUAUCUGAUUUCUGAAGGAUAAACCUAAGCCUUGACAAACCCCAGAGGAAGGCCUCAAAAGGAGUUCUGAUCUGGUAGUCUACUCCACACAACGCCAUCAGCCAACAUAGUUCUGGAGACUCUCCAACGAGUCCCAUGUGGUAGUGUGCCGGCCUGCUGGAACCGCUCCAGUCACCCUGCCCCAAGUCUGUCAUGUGCAGGCACUGACUGGUCAUUUGACAUGAUGAAAUUCAUCUCUUCAGACAUGUAGCUUCAAAGAAAAUGGUCCCAAGACUCAUGUUUUGCACAGGUCACAUCACACCAUCACCUUUGCCUUGUGUUUGGGUGGCUGAAGUCCAGUGGAAGUUGUCUUGAUUGUCUCCUGACCCAAUGAGGCAUCUACUGUUCGUUGGCCUUCCUGUUCAUAUGAAAAGUACCUUGGUCUCAAAACAAUCUUGGGAAAAGCAGGUGUUCUUAUGCAGGAGAUCCGAGCAUCAGGAGCACGUUUCCAAACAACAAUUGGGGUUGUCCUUGGCUAAACUUUGCAGGAUUUGCAUCUUGAACUGGCAAAAGGCACAUGCAUUGACAAUCUUACAUGUGGUACUGCUAAGCACCCCAAGCUUCUAGAAUGGUCUGUAGGCUGACUUUCUUCAGGCUGGCCUUAGGCUCACAGUGACCAUCUCCUUUACUUCUUCAGAAACAGUCAUCCACAAAGGAGUGUGCCCCACACAUUGCCUAUAUCCUUGAAUUUGUGAACCAGCUUUUCAAAGGUGCAUGGGAGAUGUUAUUUCUUCCAGAAGGACAUGCAUUGAAGGACUCUGUAGAUCCACCAGCCGUGUGUCCCCUCAGAAGUAGUGGCUUAAUGUGUUCAUCUUUCAUUAUCUUCAAUCUGUAAAAAAUAAAAUACUAUCAUCUUUGUUUCUAAAUACUACACUCAAGGUCAAGGCUUGAACCAAACUCUGUGAUUUCCAACAUAAUUCUAGAGUUUGCUGUGCUAAUAACAAAUAAUAAUGAUGGCAAAAGUCUUAAAAAAAAAAGGCAUGUUCUUUCUUAUCUCUUUUCUUUUUUCUACCAGUGUGUGAAAUACAAAAGAAUCAGUAAGGAUAACUAAUUUCCUACUGACAAAGUAUACCGCUAUCACUGUCAUUUGGAGGCAGCUUUAACUAUGGUUACUUUAUAAAUUUUAUUUUUAAGAUUAUCAUACAGUAAAACUGACUUCUUCUGUGUACAGUUUCAUGGAUUCAGACACCUGUAACAGAUUCACAUAACUACAACCAAAAUCAGUAUAUAGAACAGGUCCACUCACUCCAAAAAACUCUCUCUGUAGUUAUGCCCUCUCCUUACUCUUAACCCCCAGGCAACCCACUUCUCUGUUUUAUAAUACUAUAGUUUUAUCUUUUUGAGGAUCAUAUAAAUGAAUCAUACAGCAUGUAUUUUUUGGAGACUGUUUUUUUUUUUUUCACCUAGCAUAAUAACUUUGAGAUUCUUCUGAGUUUGUAUACAGGUUUUUGUGUAAACUUAAGAUUUCAUUUAUUUAGGCUAAAUACUCAAGGAUGGGAUUACUAGAUCAUAUUUAAUGUCAUAAGAAACUGCCCAAAUGUUUUCAGAGUGGUACACAUACCAUUUCUCAUUUGUGAUAGAAACAGAAAUGUGUGAGAGUUCUAGUGGCGAUGCAUCCCUUCCAGCAUUUAUUACUGUGUGUAUUACGGGGCGAGGAGGCAGGGCGGAGGACCUCUAUUGUAUAUAUAUUACCAUUCAAGUACGUAUGUGAUGCUAUCUCAUCAUGGCUUUGAUUUGCAUUGCCAAAUGGUCAGUGAUGUUGAACAUCUUACUCCUUCUUCGUUACUGAAAUUGUGGGUUUCCUGCUGCCUGAAGAACUUCUGCUCUGAAUUUUUGUAGAGCAGAUCUGCUGGCACAAAUCUUCGUUAUCUUUGAUCUGAAAAUGUGUUUAUUUCAUCCUAAUUCCUGAAGGCUAUUUUGUUGAAGAUGUAUACUAUAUUUAUAGAUACAGGUUGUAUAAAGUUCUAUAAAUAUAGAUAUAUAGUAGAUCAAUAGAUAUAGAUUUACUCACAUAUGUAAUUAUAAAAUUAUGUAUAAUUAUAGAUUGAUAGUCCUCCCCCUUUCUCUAUUGCCUUGAGUCUACUAUUGGGCCCAUUUAGGAAAUUUUAAAUUUCAGUUCUUGUAUAUUUCAGUUCUCAUAUUUUCAUUUGAUUCUUCUUAAUAUCUUCUAUUUGCUGGAAUAAUCUAUUUUUCCAUUUGUCUCAAGAGUGUUUAUAGUUUUGAGAUAUCUGUAUACCUUCUUUAAAGUCCUUGUGAUGUAAUUCCAAUUACAUAGUCCUAAUAUCUACCAUUAUCCUCCACGCAAGUUGUGAUUUCUUUUUUUAUAUGGUGAGUAAAUUUUUUUAAAUUUUUUAAUAAAAAUAUAAUGUAUUAUUAGCCCCAGGGAUACAGGUCUGUGAAUUGCCAGGUUUACACACUUCACAGCUCUAUAUGGUGAGUAAUUUUUAAUUAUAUCCUGAAUAUUUUAAAUAUGUUAUGUGAUUCUGGAUCUUGUUUAAAUCCCUUAGAAAGUGUUGAUGUUUUCAUUUUAGUUGGCAGUUAACCUUAGAAGUUUCAGGCCACAAGAUCCAACCAGACUUUUAUGUGUGCUAGUUCCAAUGUUAGUUCAGAUUUCAAAGUUUUUGCAAUGCUAUUAGACCUUCUGCUAGUGUGAGCUCCCCAGGGGUCAGUCUGGAACCUGUGUAGCAUUCAGUUACUCAUGAAGAUCAAGUCCAUGCAUAAGCAGCCUAGAAGACCCAAGCCCUUUGCUUCCCAUGAUUGCCCAUUUAUAUUCCCAAUUUCUGGGGCUCCCCUCUUCAGUACUCUGCCCAAAAAACUGAUAAUUUAGUUAUCCUACUCUCCUGCACCCUUCUGGGACUACAUCUGAAUUUGGGCCAAAUGGCAGGAGGACAGAGAAAGGUUUCCCCACAUCCUCCUGGAUUUUCAGCUCUGUUGAGAGAGAGAAUCUCCUCCAGUGUUUGGCCCCUGCAAUUUCUGUUUGCACUGCAGCCGCUGAAGUCACUGCAGCCACCACGAGAUUGCCUGAGGUUUGGGAAGCAUGAAAGCAGAGGGGAAAACACUCUGUCUCUGCACCAAUGCCUGUCUACUUCGGGGUUUCAGACUGUUGCAUUCCACCUGGGGAAUCCUGGAGGGGAAAAAAAUGAUAGUGCUGAGGAGAUCGUACAGAGGAUGUGACUGUUGGUUGACCUUGAGCCAGACCCAGACAACUGGAGGCUGCCUACCACAUCCCCUGCCCUUGGAAUGUAUCUUCUGGCCACCAUUCCCACAGCAGGAAGCAUAUUCAAGGAGGCAGCCUUGAGAGAACAAUGUGUUGUUGAGACCAUCUGGAUGAGGCUGUGGCUGGAGUUACCUAGAGCGUCAACCGACCAGGACAUCCAAGAUGGCUUCCCCACUCACAAGUGUGAAACUCAGUGCAUUUCCAUGUAGUUCUCUUUCCAAAAGAAAAGCCCCGACUUUUGACAUGGUGGCUCGCAGCUUCAGCAGGCAAGAAGCAGAACCACUGAGCCUGUUAAGAGUGAUGACUGGAGAUGGCAUGCCAUCACUUCAGCCAUACUCUAAUGGUCAAGCAGACAGAAAGUCUAUCUAAUCUUAAGGGAGUGGAGAAAGAGACUCUACCUCUUGACUGGGAAGCAGUGAGUUCAACACUGCAGAAAAUUACGUGGAAUGAAAAUUAUUAUCGUGGACCUCUUCAGAAAAUAUACUCGGUCACUCAGUAUUAGAAGCAAAUCUAUCGCUUUGAAGGAUCUCAUACCUAUUCUUCAACUUGCCAGCCUCAUAACUAAGGAUUCUAAGCCUUCAAAGAGCUUUAAUGUACUCAGUGGGUCUUAAGCUGAUGUAAAGUCUGAAAAAAAAUGGGAACUUCUCUCUUAUUUCACUACUUGAUAAAGGACCAAUUUCAGUAGCUUAAUUUAUCCCUUAUGGAAUGUGAUUUGAUCUCAGACUUACAGUGUUUGCAAACUUGAAGAGUUUAAAAUGAAAUAACAUACUCCACUAACUUCUGUUCAUCCUGUUAAUCUGUGCCUUGUUUUCUUCUAGCCAGAUGUUUCUUAUACUUCAUUUGCCUAACAAUAUUCAGACUAGGAAACGAUUCUAGCAUUAAAAUGAUGCACCAAGCAUACCCACAUUUAUUUUCCAUAUCCUUGGCUCUUUCUAGAUCUGUCUUGCAUUUUUCAACAUCCUUAAUGUCUAUUGAACCCAGAUGGAAUCUAAGUUUGCCAGGAAAGAAAGAAAACCAAACAUGCGCCAGUAUUUUAUAUUCUUCCAUGGUAUAUGGAAAAGGUCUGAAGAUACAAUAUGCUCUUUAAAAUCAUGCACACUAGGCAUUUAGUUGAAGAAAGUGUGGAGUCAACUUCUGAAAUGGCCCCCCAUGGCCCCUAAUGACCUCUGCCUCCUGAUAUCCCAUGGCAUUUUGUAAUUAUUUCCCUUUGAAUGUGGGUUGGACAUAAUGAACUUACUUCCAACAAAUAAAAUAUGACAAAGUGUUGGGAUGUCACUGUCAAGAUUAGGUUUCAGAAGACUCUAUUUUCCAUUUUUUCACUCUCUUU